UCCCUGGUGGCUCAGAUGGUAAAGAAUCUGCCUGAAGUGCGGGAGACCCAGGUUUGAUUCCUGGGUCAGAGAA
rnacentral:tRNA from 1 species